rnacentral:tRNA from 2 species
GGAGGGUUAGCGUAAUGGUAACGCACCGGUCUUGAAAACCGGCGCCUUCGGGCUUGGGGGUUCGAGUCCCUCACCCUCCGCCA